AGAUGCUCUACAGAAUACAAUUGUGAUGAACUAAUUUUAUCUACAUCACCAAAUUUACAGCAGAACAGAAGAGUUUUUAGUGGCUCUGGCGAUUGGCAGGAUUUUGAAAUGCCAGGAGAUACAAUAUAUUACCAAUUCACUUCUGAUUCAAGUAAUAAUGACUGGGGAUGGAAAUUUGUGGUUACAGGAGGACAAUUAGGAAGAUUUGAGACUGGUUGUACAAUUCUAAGUGCACUUCUCUCUCAAGACCAUCAUGUAGCAAG
rnacentral:lncRNA from 1 species